UCCCUCUUCAGGGUUUAUAAGCACAGCUGUUGCCAUGACGAUUCUAUUUCCCACAGAUAUGCUGGAACAACGUCUCCGGUCACGGAAACAAUCUCCGUGCUUUUUCAAUUGGGCAGCGAAUGUGUCGGUUCGACAAGAGUAUCUCAGUGGGACGGCUGAGUGCUUCCUGAACACAAAAACAUCUUUUGGAAAGCAAGGAGGCAUGGCUUUGGAUGGAUAUUUGAAGACAUACAAAGCAUUCCAUUCAGAAGGGCUCAUCCCUAUGCCUUAAUCCCUUCGAAGGAUUGACCCUCCGAAGUGAUGGCUUCGAAGGGAUGAAGGGUGUUGGGGUCAAAACACACUUCUGCAUCAUCUUAAUGAGAGGAGAUGUGGUCUGGCACGACUCACAAACACUUCCUAACUCAAGAGUUUGGCCAUGCUGUAUUCAGAGGAACCCAGAGAGCCCCAGGCCUUUAAACAUGACACACUUCCACAUCAUUCAGCUCACAUCUGCUACUCUGUGACCCCAAAUGCAUGGUAAACUUUU